UAACUUCACCAUGGCAUGUCGAGGACAUAGUGAACUACUCUUGUCAUGUUGUGGAGAAGUGCUGACCUAUCUGCAUUACAUGGAGCCUUGGACCUCCAUCUUGUUGCUGUGAUGAGCAUGAUUGCCUUGCAGUUGGACAAAGACCUGGGCUGAGAGGGGGAGCAGACUGUCUCUACUAUUGUGGAUGGACAUCAUUGUUGCAUGUCAAGGACAUAGUGAACCAGAUUGUCAUGUUGCAGAGAUGUGAUGACUAAUCUGCAUUUCAUGGACCUUUGGACCUCCUCCAUGUUGCUGGGAUGAGCAUAGCUGCCUUGCAAGGACCAGGACCAAUUACACCCUCACUAACACACGGGGGCUAAAGAUGUCCAGGUACCUGAACUUCAGGAUGGACAUCAUUGUGGCAUGUCAAGAGCAUAGUGAAUCACUUGUCUUGUUGCAGAGAAGUGAUGACCCAUCUGCAAUCCAAGAGUUAAGACCAUUGACACAGAGAGGGAGACUGCCCUUUUAAACCUGUGAACACAUGAAUGAGG